rnacentral:rRNA from 1 species
UACAGAGACUGCAAGCGUUAUUCGGAUUCACUGGGCGUAAAGGGUGCGCAGGCGGCCAAGUGUGUGAGGCGUGAAAACCCGAUGCUCAACAUCGGAAUUGCACCUCAAACUACAUGGCUAGAGCAUUGGAGAGAGUAGCGGAAUUCACGGUGUAGCAGUGAAAUGCGUAGAUAUCGUGAGGAACAUCAGUGGCGAAGGCGGUCUGCUGGGCCGUUGCUGACGCUGAGGCGCGACAGCGUGGGGAGCAAACAGG